ACCAUACCUUCAUAAUAAAAAAUCUUUCUGAACCAAAGUGUCUUCAAUUUGGUUUUCUCACUCAAUGAACUAAGUCAAAAAAGAGUUAACAACCCUGACUUCUAAAUUCACAGCCUUCAUUAAUUCAGCAUAGUUUUCACCGAGUGCCCGUAUUUGGACAAGUAAUGAAGUUAGACCUUGAGAAUGCAGUGUUAGAACAGCAACAGCUAAAACAAAAUAGUCACUUUAAUGAAUACAGGCCAACUUGUGCUUCCCAUCAUAAAAUCCUAAUGGAAUACAAGAAGAUGAGCUGCUAAGUGGAAUCACUGGUCUCAAGAUGGAAAGUCUACAUUCAGCUCUCCUCUGUGGACUUUUAAUUCAUCCCUGUUCACAUUCUAGCCAUGUGCUUUGGACAACCAAAACUGUAUCACUGAUAAAAAUGUUAAGCAAAACUGGACCCAGUGCUGAGCCUUGGUGACUGGCUGCCAAGAGGAUUAGACUCCACUAUGACUUCUGGCCAUCCAGCCAGUUCUUCACCCAACAAGCUGUAUACCUGUCCAUGCCCGGAGCAACCAGUUUCUACAAAAGAAUACUGUGGCAAGCACUGUCCAACUCUUUACUAAAAUCCAGCUGUUCACUGGUGCCUGACAUCUUUAUGUCAUAUUCAAACCAUUAACUGUACAUGGAUGCCAGAUAUAUUUUUGCCUUCCUCACUGGCCCAGUCUUCAUUUUCACACAGUUUCUUCAGUAAGCAGUUGUGCACAUGAAGAGGUCAUAUAGUAGAUGGCUGUGUGUCACAGAGGAGAAAAGGAAGAGCAGUACAGCAGCACACUCUGUCCUGUAACUCCUUCUGCUAGCCGGCCAUUGCUAGCAGCAGAGGAAAGGACAGCUUCUUGGCAUUUGGCACUUUUUGAUCAUCUAAGCAGGGGUUUGCAAAAGACUGCUGUCCAAGCUGUUGGAUUGGGACCCACAGUUCAUGGCUCGCAUGUGACUGAGACCUGUAUCCUCCUCCUCUACCAAAACCAGUGCUUCAGCCUGGGUUCUUCAGGCUGUUCUCAUGUCUUAUCAGUCUUUAAUUAUCUCUGAUUUCCUUCCUCAUUCUGCACAUUGUAACUGUAAAAUAAAAUCUGCUAGCUCAUUAAGUAUGAGUUUCUUAAUAUAAUUUCAAUUUAUGUCUUCCACUUUUUAAUUACCAAAUCUUAAAUUGUUUCAAUUCUGCUGCUCCUUUCAUGAGGGACUAACACUUAGUAAGUCUGGCAGUAAAAAAAGAGUUUCCUUUUCUGAAUGGGGGUGAAAGGGAAGGAAGUGAUUUUUUUUUUUUUUAAUGGCUUAAUGUUAGGGGAAAUCCUAAUGUUCUUGGCCAAGUUAUCCUGCAGCCAGAAUGCAGCACUGCCAGUUCAAACUCCUCAAAGGCAGUUCAACAAAACUGCUUCUUGUGAGAGGCUGCCAGCUCUCCCAGUCCAAGUCUGCUUCAGUGGAUGCCAAGGUGUUUCAUUUAUGUUCAGUGAAAACACUCUGUGGUUCUCCUCUGAAAAGCAAUUAUAUAAAACAGGCAGUAGUCCUUUCCAAAGAUCAGCUCCCUGUGUGUACUGAGACUGACAUAUCUGUGCUCUCUAGUGGCUAAAAUAUACUUUAUUGCUCCUUAUUUCUGUGUGCCCUGCAAGUAUAGCUCUGACGUAGAGGGCUGACAUUAUUCUGCCUUCUCAUCUGAUACUCAGAGAAUUGUUCAUUAAAUCUAAAUAUAAGUCUAUCCAGGGUCACCAAAAGAAACUCAGUAGGAAUGCAACUGUCAAUGAAAAGCAGAAUGGGGCUCUAUAGCCUUUAUCAGGCAUGCUGCUCACUUAAAAGAAGAAACACAUUACAAUUUACAGUACAUAAAAGAGUUUGUGGAAGCAAAACAAGUUCACCGUGUUUGCAUAUUUGCACUCUGUGCUUACACUUUGUGGCAGGCUCCAAUUUAAGUUUCAAAAUUGUGAAGGCAACAGUAGUUUUGAAAACAAGGUCUGUAACAGAAGUAUGUAUGUCAAUAAAACCAUGCACAUAUACAAUAACAGUCAUAAUACAUUAUUUCAUUCAGUGUAAGACACCGUCAUCCAUUCCUUAGAUAACUGGAGGUCUACCUUUUCAUGAUAACAAAGAAUCAAAAACCACUGUUUAAAAAGGGAGGGAGGGGAGGAACCUCACUACUGAGACAGCUAACAUUGCAGAGAACCUAUUUUUUUUUCACCCAUUUCAGACUGCAUCUUAUGAGAUUACUGUUUUUCCUUCUUUUGUCUGUAUGUUAAGUGUUUCAAUGUCUCCUCACCCUCUCAUUUGAACCUCAAAAACAGUUUUCUGUGAUGAUCUUUAUUAUGUAAAAAGCAGUCACUUACUCAUAUAUGUAUAUAUCAUGCAAGGGACCAAAUUAGUCUAAAAAAUUCAUUUGCUUCACAAUCUCUAGAUUUGCCCUCAUAUAGUUUUUCUCUUGCAGGACAAAGAGCUGAUUUAAGGACCAGCUGAGAACCAGAAAACUGCUCAGCUGAGUAGCUCACUGUUAAUCUGUUUCAGAAUGAAAAAGGAAGAGCAAAGAAAAAAGAGAAAAUACAGACUACAGAAAGGAUUCGUGGUUCACUUCUUCCUUUACACUUGUUCAAGCUUCUUACUUGGCUUAUGGAAAGGAGUGCAAAGCCUCCUUUCUUCUCUUUCUGCAAAUACAAAGAACCACACUGUUGCAUUUUCAGCCUCUUGGACCAUCUUCCUCACCUUCAGUUAGUUUCCCAGUGAACACAUUCAGACAGCUUGCCAUGGUGCCAAAGCAGAAUUAGACAUCCAGUAUGCUAUCUAAACCCAGAAUGUGACAGCAGUCCAGACUGCUUAUUCCACAUUAUUUUUCAGACCUCUGAGUCUGAAAAAGUCUACAGAAUGCGGUCAGUGGAAAGAGGAGGCCCAUUUUGGAUCUGUGCAUUUUGUCUAAAUUACGCAUUUUGUCUAAAUUUUGCCCAACUUUCUGUUAAACGUUUCCCCUCCCAUUCCCCCCAAGAAAGAAGGUAUAUUAAGGACUCUAUUAUUUCCUGACAAAGCAGAUCUCAAUUUUAAAAAGGAAGUGCAGCAAACUUGAAGAUUUAACAAAAAAUGUUUCAAAUUGUGAUGCACAUUUGAUUUAAGCACAUUAAACAGGAAUGCAUAAAGCAUGCCAUGAUAUGUUUCUACAUUAUUGUUUCUACAUUAUAUACUAUACUGAACUUACCUUAUGCAAAACUGCACUGCUUGCUGUUGCUUGCCAAAGCCAUGUCUGUGUUGAUCAUGUUGGGGGGGGGAUGGGACAGCCUGUUCCACCAGGGACCUCUCCACAGGCUGCAGGGGAACUUCUGCUCCAUGCCUGGAGCACCUCCUGUCCUCCGUCUGCACUGACCUGCGGGUCUGUAGAGCUGGUUCUCUCACUUUCUUUCUAGUUGCCCUCUCUCACAGCUGCUGUGUAACAUUUUUUAACCUUUCUCUUGUAAGUUUUCCCAGAGGUGCCCACCCAUGGCUGCUAGGCCCAGCCAUGCCCUGUGGUGGGGGUGUUGGAGACAGCUAGAAGUGACUGUGUCUGGCAUGGGGCAGCCCCUCAGAGGAGCCCUGCAGCCCCCUGCCAGCACCAUGCCAUGGACACCCAAUAAAAUGAGUAUCUCCAGGGAGGCGUUGCAGAAGAGGAACCCAAGCAAUUUGACAAAUGGAUUGGAAGAAGCACGAGGCUUUUCAGAAAGGCGUGAGACAUGAACUUGACACUGGAUUUGAACCUCUUCUCACCAAGGGUGAGAAAUAUGUUCUCUCGCAUUUCUAUAAAUGAAAGGAAAAUUGGCUGAAAGAAGAGGAGUUGGAAAUGAUGCAUCUUGAAGCAGGUAUUGAAAGCUGUGCCACCAUAUACUCAAAUACUGAGAAGAAGAGAAAUUAAUGUAGCUGUCAACUGUAUUUGAUAGACAUGGUUCCAUGGCUUCAUGUUCUGCUCUUGUAUUUAAGAAGUUCUUGGCAGAAACAAGUGCUUCCAGUGUUUGCCACAUAUCUGUUGGUGUAUCAUAAACCCUAAAAUAAAGACACUAACAGAAUAUUAACAAGCGUAUGUCCAGCAUAACUCGUCUUUCUUUAUUCUUUCCAAUUUGCAUUUGAAAAGUGAUGCCCUGCUAAAUGAAAGGGAUGGAUCGUAUCCUAACAUAUUUUUUUUUCCAAAAUGCAUGUAUAUUUAUGGAUGUAUUACUGCUUCUGUUAAUAUUUAUUCUAUCCAUGGUUGGAAACCUUUUUUUUUUUUUUUUUACACAUUAAAAGCAAAUAAACCUAUUGCAGUGGAAAAAGGCACACAUUUUGAGCUGAAUUCUACAGAAUCAAGCAUACAAAAGGGAUUCCGACAAACAAGAGAUGAUGAGGGAUGUUUGCUACCAUUUUUAUGUUAAAUAUGGUAUAAAUGUCCAGGCUGUUUUAUAGAUUUAGUCAUUAUUUGGAAAACACCGUUUUUAGUUACAAAAUCCAUAAAACAUUAUGGGCAUUUAUAGUGGUAGAAAAUAGUGUGUUGUGAAAAGGGCAAAAUUACAGAAACAAGGGAGAUUAAGCAAGAAAAAAUAAAUGGGAAAACAGAUAAGCAGAGUCUGGAAAUGACUUAUACAUAAGAUGAAAUUAUGUAAACAUACUCAGUUGUUAUCCUUUAUACAAACAUCUUUCAACUAAUGUCUGCCAUACCUGACUUUUUCUUGAUCAUUUCAUAUGUUUAAAGAAUAAAUUUAAGCAUAUAUCUUCAAAUUGUUUUAUAUUGGACAACAGAGCAUUCUGUCUAUUAGAGUUUAACUUUGGUUUCCUCUAUAUUUCACUUUAGAGUUGUAACAGACUUGCAAAUCAAAUUGUCUAUCAUUUACGCUAUCAACAUCACUGAACUUACACAACACCCAUGAAAACCUCCACACAGAAUUCCAGAUUUUAACUUACAUUUUUGAUGCUCUAAUUUAUACUGACCUAAAAAUAGUCAAUGAUGUCUCAGAAAAUCAGCUCCUGAAAGUUGUUCUAAAAUAGACCAUGCUUGUAGUAAUCUCUAAUGCUGUUUUGUGUUUUUACUUUAUUUGUGCAUAGAAACCAGGACCCUUAGUUGUUUGUUGGUUUUUUUGUUUGUUUGUUUUUGUGUUUUAAUAUACAACCAUGCAAUAAAUAUGUAUAUAAUACAUAUAUAUGUACAUUCACAUGCGUAUUUUCCAUAAUCCUCAGAGUUUCUGUAAAAAUGUUUGUCAAAGACUACCACAGUAAAUACUCUCCGGUUGCCUGGCACUAGAGAGACCUGGGUUUCUUUAAUUGAAAUUUAUUUUCAUCUUAAACACUGAUUUUCUGUAAAACUUGUGUCAGAUUUUUCUGUGUUGUACUUGCAUUUAUUUCCCUUAAUACCUGCAAAAGUGGACUGUGAAUUAGUCUGUAUGUUGCUUUGUAAGUAUUUAGUAUGCACAGGUUUCCUGAUAAAGGUCUUUCCUUUUCCAGGCAA